rnacentral:rRNA from 1 species
GAUGAACGCUAGCUACAGGCUUAACACAUGCAAGUCGAGGGGAAACGACAUCGAAAGCUUGCUUUUGAUGGGCGUCGACCGGCGCACGGGUGAGUAACACGUAUCCAACCUGCCCAUCACUUGGGAAUAACCUUGCGAAAGUAAGACUAAUACCCAAUGACAUCCCACGAAGACAUCUGAAUGGGAUUAAAGAUUUAUCGGUGAUGGAUGGGGAUGCGUCUGAUUAGCUUGUUGGCGGGGUAACGGCCCACCAAGGCAACGAUCAGUAGGGGUUCUGAGAGGAAGGUCCCCCACAUUGGAACUGAGACACGGUCCAAACUCCUACGGGAGGCAGCAGUGAGGAAUAUUGGUCAAUGGGCGAGAGCCUGGACCAGCCAAGUAGCGUGCAGGAUGACGGCCCUAUGGGUUGUAAACUGCUUUUAUAAGGGAAUAAAGUGGGUCUCGUGAGACUUUUUGCAUGUACCUUAUGAAUAAGGACCGGCUAAUUCCGUG